UCCGGGGUCGUUCAAUGGUAGGACAUCGGUUUUUGGUGCCGUCUAUAGGGGUUCGAAUCCUCUCCCCGGAA
rnacentral:tRNA from 1 species